rnacentral:lncRNA from 1 species
CGGCCCAAUCCGCGUGCGCCUGCCAGGCCACUCCCUCGGUCCCGCCUCCGCGCCCCGAGGCAAGACACAAACAAGCAGCCUGCUGCAGCCCUUCACAAAGAGCGCACGUUGCGCAGGCGCGCCCAACGGGCUCUUACCGAGAGUGUCCCGUGAACAAUGAAGUUCGACUUCUGCCUCACCUCCCUGGCAGCGAUCCUUUGGGGUAGCCUGGGGGUGGGGCAGGGGAGGAGGAGGAGAGAGGCGGUGGAGGAACUAGGAAGCUUCUGACCUCCAGAAAGGACUGCUUUGUUCUGGACUCCGGAAUGCUUUCCCGGGCACUCUGGGAUUGUUCACUUUCCUCUGAAGCUGUCUAACCCCUUUCUCCUUGUGGCCCCUUACAAAAAGACGUUUUUCUCUCCCUCUUCUCCAUCUUUUCUCUCCAGACAGCUGCUGAGAUUUACACCAUGCCUGCCUUACAGUCUUGGGAAAAAAACAAAACUAAUAAACUCCUUGAGCUUCUGUUCUAAA